AGCAGCGUGGCCUUGUGGUUAGAGCGUGGGCCUGGGAGUCAGAAAGACCUGGGUUCUAAUCCCAGCUCUGCUA
rnacentral:tRNA from 1 species